rnacentral:rRNA from 1 species
UACGAAGGAGGCUAGCGUUGUUCGGAAUUACUGGGCGUAAAGCGCACGUAGGGGGAUUUGUUAGUCAGGGGUGAAAUCCCGGGGCUCAACCUCGGAACUGCCUUUGAUACUGCAAAUCUCGAGUCCGGAAGAGGUGAGUGGAAUUCCUAGUGUAGAGGUGAAAUUCGUAGAUAUUAGGAAGAACACCAGUGGCGAAGGCGGCCCACUGGGCCGGCACUGACGCUGAGGUGCGAAAGCGUGGGGAGCAAACAGG